CGGCAGCGUCGGUGGCUCCAGCGCCGGCCCCACGGGCCCCGCGGCCUCUGCGGACAGAUGGCCAGGGCAGGGAGUCACUCUGUGCCCUAUUCAACAUAGAGGCCCAGGGCAUCCAGGCUCAGCCUGUUUCCGUGCAGCAUGAGCUUGGAGGCCCUGUGAGAGGAUGAGUCGCCUGUCACUAGAGGUAAGCAAGCAGAAUCCAGGGGCUGCAGCCAGGCUGGAACUUACCUGUCCUUUCAAUGGCCUCCACAAGCUUCAC
rnacentral:lncRNA from 1 species